AGACUUACCUGGCAUGCUGGUGGAAUGCAUAGAUUCCUGGGGCUGUCCCUGCAAAUCUACUGAAUCAGAGUUUCUAAAAUAAGUGAUAAAUCAGACUGGUAUUCUCAGCAAGGGACAAACCUAUUGUCUGCAGGAUUUAAACAAAAAGGAGAACAGCCUGGUGGGAAAAACUGAAUUAGGAAUGCCAAGAGCUGAGUUGUAGCCCCUGCUCAUUCAUU